rnacentral:rRNA from 1 species
UCGGUUCACUGAGAAAUGGGAGUGGCGAACGGGUGAGUAACACGUGGGUAACCUACCCAUCAGCGGGGGAUAACACUUGGAAACAGGUGCUAAUACCGCAUAAUUCUUUUCUUCGCCUGGAGGAAAGAUGAAAGACGCUUUUGCGUCACUGAUGGAUGGACCCGCGCUGCAUUAGCUAGUUGGUGGGGUAACGGCUCACCAAGGCCACGAUGCAUAGCCGACCUGAGAGGGUGAUCGGCCACACUGGGACUGAGACACGGCCCAGACUCCUACGGGAGGCAGCAGUAGGGAAUCUUCGGCAAUGGACGGAAGUCUGACCGAGCAACGCCGCGUGAGUGAAGAAGGUUUUCGGAUCGUAAAACUCUGUUGUUAGAGAAGAAUAAGGAUGAGAGUAGAAUGUUCAUCCCUUGACGGUAUCUAACCAGAAAGCCACGGCUAACUACGUGCCAGCAGCCGCGGUAAUACGUAGGUGGCAAGCGUUGUCCGGAUUUAUUGGGCGUAAAGCAAGCGCAGGCGGUUUCUUAAGUCUGAUGUGAAAGCCCCCGGCUUAACCGGGGAGGGUCAUUGGAAACUGGGAGACUUGAGUGCAGAAGAGGAGAGUGGUAUUCCAUGUGUAGCGGUGAAAUGCGUAGAUAUAUGGAGGAACACCAGUGGCGAAGGCGACUCUCUGGUCUGUAACUGACGCUGAGG